GUGCUCCUUUUCAUCAUGAUUACAUCAUGUGGUAGCCUGCUUUUUAAGGUCUCUAUUCAAGUGGAUGACGGGAAAUGUAUGAGGGAUAGAGAGGAAUAAGUUUUCUGGAACACGUCUUUGUAGUGUAUGGUGGGUACAAGUAAUGUUAGAUUCAAAAUUUAGAGCUUUUGCCAAUAAUUAGUAGCAAAAUUCAGGAUUGCUGAGAAGAGAGGUGAACCUAAUGGCUUCAGUACUAUUGUUAGGAUACUAUGUUGCUUCUAGGCUAUCGAUAAGAAUAGUUCAGUCGCUUUAGAGAUUGUUGAACAUAUGAAAUUGAUUGUAAUCUCUGGGCACCCUCAAGUUAAGCUGCUUGAAGACCAAGUUCAAAUAUGUGUGAGGGCAGUGCGGUUGGGCAUGCGAGCCUAUUGCACCUGAUAUAAUCAGACCAUUAGAUAUGUUUUGACAUAGUGAUCUGCAAAUGAAUUUUUUGUACUCGUAGGUAUAGUUUUCAUUGCGUGAGACAUUUCCUAGAACCAUUAGUAGUCUUGUACAUUGAAUCAAUUUAUUAGACGAC
rnacentral:rRNA from 1 species